rnacentral:lncRNA from 1 species
CGUGAUCAAUAGCUGACGUGUGCAGAAGUCCUUCUUGCCCUGGUCGUCGUUCCUGUCUGUCCAAGUACCAGUUCCCAUUUGACCUGAGGGCCAGUGGGCCUGCGGCAGAGGGAAGAAGAAACAGGAAAAGGUUGCUGUACAACGCCAGGAAAGAGAAGAGGAAGGAAAUUAAGCUCUAUUGGUGAAGGUCAAUUCGAGGGUCUGCUGUAGCAGGUGGCACCACUUGAAGGAGGGAGGAGGAAGUUUUCCGGAUCCGUAGAGGACGGGGUAUGGGUUGCGGGACCUGAGUGUCAAAAACAAAACAAAGCAAAAAUAUUGGCCGGGAGACAAGGUAAGAGGAUUCUUCGCAAAGUAUAUAAAAAGCUUACGAUUCCCCCUCCCCCUUUCCCCACCACCC